UGUGAUUAUAACUCAAUGGUAGAGUAAUAGCUUGUGGUGUUAUAUGUUAUUGGUUCAAGUCCAAUUAAUCACC
rnacentral:tRNA from 1 species